UACGGAGGGGGCUAGCGUUGUUCAGAAUUACUGGGCGUAAAGCGCACGUAGGCGGAUGCUUAAGUCAGGGGUGAAAUCCCGGGGCUCAACCCCGGAACUGCCUUUGAUACUGGGUGUCUGGAGGUCGAGAGAGGCGAGUGGAAUUCCGAGUGUAGAGGUGAAAUUCGUAGAUAUUCGGAGGAACACCAGUGGCGAAGGCGGCUCGCUGGCUCGAUACUGACGCUGAGGUGCGAAAGCGUGGGGAGCAAACAGG
rnacentral:rRNA from 1 species